CCUUAUCCACUAAAGGCGUGAGGCGUGGCUUAAAUUGUGCAUGGAGUGAUUUCAUGAGAAACCUUUUCUCAUGUAAUAAAUGGGGCGUAAAAAAAGAGAUAAGGUGCAAAGAUUGAUUGCCCAUUCAAAUUCAAAUUUUAUUUUGAAUUUGAAUGGCCAACCAAUCAUCCUUAUCUAUUCAUAUGGCACAUUAAAGAGAGGCAUGGAGAGGGCUUGGCGUGAGGAAAUAAUUCAUGAGAAGUUUCUUCUCAUGAAUUCAAAUGGGUGCAAUGGAAGUGAGGUGGCGCAUGGAGAUUGGGUCAAGGUGGUUUAAUUAUUUAAACAAACCUAAUAGAACCAAAUAAGUUAGGUCCAAUU
rnacentral:lncRNA from 1 species